ACAUUCACAUUAUUUUUAUUAUAGUAUGUUGUUAUAAUUGUUCUAUUUUUAUUCAUUAUUAAAAUUUUAUGUGCCUAAUUUAUAAAUUAAACUUUAUCAUAGGUACGUAUGUAUAAGAAAAACAUAGUAUGUAUAUGGUUCGGUACUAUUCAUGAUUUCAGGCAUCCACAGGGGUCUUCUACUGUAUUCCUAAAGAUAAAGAGGGACUACAGGCAUACCUUGUUUUUUGCACUUUUAUUGUGCUUCUCAGAUCCUGCGUUUAUUUCUUUUUGUUUUAAUUGAAGGUUUGUGGCAACCCUGCGUGGAGCACAUCUAUCGGCACUACUUUCCCUACAUUUGACUGCCUCUUGUUUCGGUGUUACAUUUUGCUUCCAAGAAAUAGUGAAAUAAUACAUCCAGUGAUACCUGUCAAUGGUCUUUUCCUGUCUUUGGUGAGAAGCAAAUACAUCAUGUCUACAGGACAUCAACCAAAGAAUAGUUUGAAGCCUAUUUCCAGGAAGAGAAACACUGGAGGUGAGCUACAGCAAUAAAGUGCCCGUGCUGAGGAACGGCAAAAUGAACUGAACAUAUAAAACAAGUUGUAAGGACAGGCCAAACGUCAGGUCUGUAUCUGAGAAUAGAGUUAAUAAUGGAAUGCGCACUCAGGACCCUUUGAGGUGCAGUGUGAAUCAUUGUUUAAACACAAUUUGGCUGGACUUUACAGUUGCUGCACUGGGAUUGAGAAAUGUCAGCCAGUACCAGGCAAAAGGAGAAUUCAAACCUCCUUCCAGAUGACAACCAGAGAAGAACAUUUCAGCAUUAUGGGAUUAUAGCAAGAGCCUGAUUCUGCUACUGAAGUGACCUUCCAGUCUUGCUUUCUCCCUAAGUUUGGUUUAACUUCAAAAGUCACUUAAUUUAACCUGGUUUAGUUCCCCUAUCAGCACAGAUGUGGGGUUGGAUGAAAUGACAUGUGAAGGCAUUUUAGUUCCAUAAUACAAGAUGAACAAUACUUAAAGAGUAUAUAAAAAGAGCCAAGGUCAGUCUUAGGGGAUAUAAAACCUGGUUUUGACCAGGUGUCAAAAACCAAAGUCAAGUUCAAAUGCUAGAUUAGAAGGUUUGUUGUAUGAAUUAUGAAUGUGUAGGUGGUAGAAAUUAUUGUCACAUGGAAGUAAGGAAAACCUGCACCCCAGUCCCAGUUUUGCAGCCAGCCAACUGUGUGCUGGAAUUUUCAGGCUCAAGUCACCUAUUAGUGAAAUGAGAAGACAAGAGCAGCAUAAUCUGGAAGCUUCACACACAUUUACUUUUCUAAGGGGGCAAAUCUGGCCAGUUAUGUAUGGCACGGGGCAGCACCAAUUCAGGGAGCAAGUGAGCCAUAGUUGAUAUGAUUUCUUAACCAAUGGUAGUAAACUGAUGUGAGGUUUAAUCAUUCCUUAUUCUGUUUCUCUGGGCUUAGAUACUUUUUAUUUACUUGAAUUCCUUAUUAUAUCUAAAAAUUGUCCCUCCCUUCAUAAAAUGUCAUCACAGCCAUAGAUAAAUCACCUCUAUGCUACCUCUGGUCAGCAUCUCAUUGAUCAUGACCUCCACCUUCCCCUUCUUAGUGGUAUUUGUAUUAUUUUAUAUUUCCAUUUAUGUCUGUAACAUUUUGAAAUAACUCAUAUUAGCAAUCAAAUCUCUUCUCAAAAAUUCUUUUGUAGAGAAACUCUAACUUUCAGCAAAUGGAAAUAUACUAUUAGGUAAAAGAUAAGUGUUUGAUGACCACAUAUCUAACUGCAUAAAAUUGUUUAAAUCUGUGGAAGUGUUUCCUGCUAUUCAAGGAAGUUUUAUUAUUAUUAUUAAUUGUUAUUAUUAUAUAUAUGUUAUAUGUAUUAUCAAUGUUAAUAUUUUUAUUGUUAAGCAAAACAAAGGAAAUAAUGAGACAUUAAAUAUAUUUUAAAGUUUUAUAAAUUUCAACCCCACAUUUGGAUUAAAGGGUAAGUAACAUUACCAAAUAUCUAAGUCAAAGUAUUUUAGUCAUUUGUUCUAAAAUUAUGUUUGCUACUAAUAUAAAGUCAGCCAGUUAUCCUAGUAUAAAUCUCAUAAUGGAUAUCCUAGUAUAAAUCUCAUAUCCUAGUAUAAUCUCAUAAUGGAUUGGUGAAAAUUAAAAUUAUAUGUGAAGGUAAUAGACUCUGGAACUGUCAGUUUAGAUAGCAAUUAGAUAUAGUAAUAUACUCUCUAAUUAAAAACUAAUUAAGAAUGGAAUUGUAUCAAUGGUCCAUAUAUUAAUGUUAGUGCCAAUAUCUUAAAAUGAUGAUAUAAUUAACAACAUGGCCUAGUUUAAAGAUAAGUCAUUUUGGGGGUGCCUGGGUGACCCAAUCCAUUAAGCUUACCACUCUUAAUUUUGGCUCUGGUCAUGAUCUCGUGGUUUCGUGAGUUUGAGCCCUAUCGGGCUCUGCA